rnacentral:rRNA from 1 species
UACGGAGGGUGCAGGCGUUAUCCGGAUUCACUGGGUUUAAAGGGUGCGUAGGUGGAUUAGUAAGUCAGUGGUGAAAUCUCCGAGCUUAACUCGGAAACUGCCAUUGAUACUAUUAGUCUUGAAUUAUCUGGAGGUGAGCGGAAUAUGUCAUGUAGCGGUGAAAUGCUUAGAUAUGACAUAGAACACCAAUUGCGAAGGCAGCUCACUACGGAUAUAUUGACACUGAGGCACGAAAGCGUGGGGAUCAAACAGG